rnacentral:miRNA from 1 species
AACAGCAUUUCGUGACACACA